rnacentral:rRNA from 1 species
AUGUGCCGGGAGGGCAUCCUCCUGGUACCAAAGCUUUAUGUGCUGAAAGAUGGUCUCGCGUCUGAUUAGCUAGUUGGUGAGGUAACGGCUCACCAAGGCGACGAUCAGUAGCCGGUCUGAGAGGAUGAACGGCCACAUUGGGACUGAGAUACGGCCCAGACUCCUACGGGAGGCAGCAGUGGGGAAUAUUGGGCAAAAGGGGAAACCCUGACCCAGCAACGCCGCGGAAGGAAUAAGGCGUUCGGGUUGUAAACU